rnacentral:rRNA from 1 species
UACAGAGGGGGCAAGCGCUAUUCGGAAUUAUUGGGCGUAAAGGGCGCGUAGGCGGCUUUGCAAGUGACGGGUGAAAGCCCUCGGCUUAACCGAGGAACUGCCUGUCAGACUGUAAGGCUUGAGACCGGGAGAGGUGAGUGGAAUUCCCAGUGUAGCGGUGAAAUGCGUAGAUAUUGGGAGGAACACCAGUGGCGAAGGCGGCUCACUGGACCGGAACUGACGCUGAGGCGCGAAAGCGUGGGGAGCAAACAGG